CAUUUUGCCAAUCAUGAUAAGUUUUGGACCAAAAUAUGUUAAAACCAUUAAGCUGUGAAAAAAUCGCAUAUACAUUAUAAACAAUCCAAGGCUGUAGAGUCUGAUUUCAAUGCGCUGGCCACCAUUGAAUUUACCAACUAAUACUGCGGAUACAAGUACAGCGUAAGAAAAUAAUGCUAAAACAUUCCAAAAGUUCGUCAGAUAACAAUACAAUCGAAACCUUUUACGCGAUUGAUCGUGAGAUAUAUUUCUUUGUACCGUUAUCACUAUGUUUCUC
rnacentral:lncRNA from 1 species